GAUGAACGCUGGCGGCGUGCCUAAUACGUGCAAGUCGAGCGAAUGGAUUGAGAGCUUGCUCUUAUGAAGUUAGCGGCGGACGGGUGAGUAACACGUGGGUAACCUGCCCAUAAGACUGGGAUAACUCCGGGAAACCGGGGCUAAUACCGGAUAACAUUUUGAACCGCAUGGUUCGAAAUUGAAAGGCGGCUUCGGCUGUCACUUAUGGAUGGACCCGCGUCGCAUUAGCUAGUUGGUGAGGUAACGGCUCACCAAGGCAACGAUGCGUAGCCGACCUGAGAGGGUGAUCGGCCACACUGGGACUGAGACACGGCCCAGACUCCUACGGGAGGCAGCAGUAGGGAAGCUUCCGCAAUGGACGAAAGUCUGACGGAGCAACGCCGCGUGAGUGAUGAAGGCUUUCGGGUCGUAAAACUCUGUUGUUAGGGAAGAACAAGUGCUAGUUGAAUAAGCUGGCACCUUGACGGUACCUAACCAGAAAGCCACGGCUAACUACGUGCCAGCAGCCGCAGUAA
rnacentral:rRNA from 1 species